rnacentral:rRNA from 2 species
AGGGGGGGGGCCCUAAUACAUGCAAGUCGAGCGGACCGACGGGAGCUUGCUCCCUUAGGUCAGCGGCGGACGGGUGAGUAACACGUGGGUAACCUGCCUGUAAAACUGGGAUAACUCCGGGAAACCGGGGCUAAUACCGGAUGCUUGAUUGAACCGCAUGGUUCAAUCAUAAAAGGUGGUUUUUAGCUACCACUUACAGAUGGACCCGCGGCGCAUUAGCUAGUUGGUGAGGUAACGGCUCACCAAGGCGACGAUGCGUAGCCAACCUGAGAGGGUGAUCGGCCACACUGGGACUGAAACACGGCCCAAACUCCUACGGGAGGCAGCAGUAGGGAAUCUUCCGCAAUGGACAAAAGUCUGACGGAGCAACGCCGCGUGAGUGAUGAAGGUUUUCGGAUCGUAAAACUCUGUUGUUAGGGAAAAACAAGUACCGUUCGAAUAGGGCGGCACCUUGACGGUACCUAACCAAAAAGCCACGGCUAACUACGUGCCAGCAGCCGCGGUAAUACGUAGGUGGCAAGCGUUGUCCGGAAUUAUUGGGCGUAAAGCGCGCGCAGGCGGUUUCUUAAGUCUGAUGUGAAAGCCCCCGGCUCAACCGGGGAGGGUCAUUGGAAACUGGGGAACUUGAGUGCAGAAGAGGAGAGUGGAAUUCCACGUGUAGCGGUGAAAUGCGUAGAGAUGUGGAGGAACACCAGUGGCGAAGGCGACUCUCUGGUCUGUAACUGACGCUGAGGCGCGAAAGCGUGGGGAGCGAACAGGAUUAGAUACCCUGGUAGUCCACGCCGUAACGAUGAGUGCUAGUGUAGAGGGUUUCCGCCCUUUAGUGCUGCAGCAACGCAUAGCACUCCGCUGGAGUACGGUCGCAGACUGAAACUCAAGAAUGGACGGGUCGCCAGCGGUGACAUGUGAUAAUUCGAGCCACGCGAAGAAACU